AGUAGCGGCGAGUGAAGCGGCAAAAGCUCAAAUUUGAAAUCUGGCACUUUCAGUGUCCGAGUUGUAAUUUGAAGAAGGUAUCUUUGGGUCUGGCUCUUGUCUAUGUUUCUUGGAACAGAACGUCACAGAGGGUGAGAAUCCCGUGCGAUGAGAUGACCCAGACCUAUGUAAAGUUCCUUCGAAGAGUCGAGUUGUUUGGGAAUGCAGCUCUAAGUGGGUGGUAAAUUCCAUCUAAAGCUAAAUAUUGGCGAGAGACCGAUAGCGAACAAGUACAGUGAUGGAAAGAUGAAAAGAACUUUGAAAAGAGAGUGAAAAAGUACGUGAAAUUGUUGAAAGGGAAGGGCUUGAGAUCAGACUUGGUAUUUUGUAUGUUACUCUYUCGGGGGUGGCCUCUACAGUUUACCGGGCCAGCAUCAGUUUGGGCGGUAGGAGAAUUGCAAAGAAAUGUGGCACUGCCUCGGUAGUGUGUUAUAGUCUUUGUCGAUACUGCCAGCCUAGACUGAGGACUGCGGCUUCGGCCUAGGAUGUUGGCAUAAUGAUCUUAAGUCGCCCGUC
rnacentral:rRNA from 1 species